GAGGAAGGUGGGGAUGACGUCAAAUCAUCAUGCCCCUUAUGCUUAGGGCUACACACGUGCUACAAUGGGUAGUACAGAGGGUUGCCAAGCCGUAAGGUGGAGCUAAUCCCUUAAAGCUACUCUCAGUUCGGAUUGUAGGCUGAAACUCGCCUACAUGAAGCUGGAGUUACUAGUAAUCGCAGAUCAGAAUGCUGCGGUGAAUGCGUUCCCGGGUCUUGUACACACCGCCCGUCACACCACGGGAGUUGGAGACGCCCGAAGCCGAUUAUCUAACCUUUUGGAAGAAGUCGUCGAAGGUGGAAUCAAUAACUGGGGUGAAGUCGUAACAAGGUAGCCGUAUCGGAAGGUGCGGCUGGAUCACCUCCUUUCUAAGGAGA
rnacentral:rRNA from 1 species